CGAUUACUUCUGAAAAACAUGUAUUCAUGUAUUUCUUUCAAUGAAAGCAAGACGAUCGAAAUUUCUUUUGCAGAUUUGGCUGGAGCAACACGGAAGCCGACCAAGUUGUCAAAACGAGGUCUUUCGGGUUGACAUAACCCAGAAUUAGUCGAGAAAAGAAACUUCAGCCGUAAUUCUGCCGUGAGGUGAGUAAAACUUGGUCCGCUUCUGUUCUAUGUUUUCACACGAGCUGAAAAUAGACAUGAAGCUUUGUUGAAAUCAUUAGACAACUCAGACAAAACCAUCAGUGUAAAUAUUAAAGCUUGAGCAAAUAUUGCCAUGAGAAUGCAAGUUUUCAGACUUGAUCGAAAAGACAUAUAUCUCCAGUAAGGGGCCAAGACAUAUUCUGUUGCAGUUAAAGCUUAUAUUUGCCACACAUGACAUGGAUCUUGUCAAGGUCUUGUGAGAUUUCCCAGAUUGUUAGAAAAAUAUGACACAAUUGACGAGCAAAGAGGGUCGGAGUGGAGAAGACGAAAGUUGCUAAUGGGGGAGAAGAAACAAUGAAAGAACAGCUCCGAGCCAAAUAAGUAGAGGAAACCAUCCUGGGAGCAAAGAAGCAAACAACUGGUUAGCCCAUAUGGAAAAGAUUGCUUUAAGAAGCACCACAAGGCUAUCAAUAUGUUUUAGAUAACAGACUUAAAGCCUUGAUUUCAUCACAUCAAAAUAAAUACUUGGCUCUACCUCAUCUCCACACCAGACACAAUCUGGCCCUCCAGUGAUGCAAGCUGCACAAGAAUCAAACACUGCACAUGGAUUUGAAUUUCCUAAAAAAGACAAAAAUCUCCUAUCAUGUACAGAGGUACAGAGGUAUUCAAAUAAACUGAAACAGUAUAGUAAAAAAUUUAAGGAAAUUAUCUUGAACAAUUUUGAGUAAUAUAAAAGCAUAAAAUGACAGCAAAUCAUAUUUUUUCAACCCUUUUAUAACGCAAUUCUCGGAUAUUUAAAGGUUAAAAAUCUAAAUAUUUUUAUAUCUAUUUACAAGUCAUAUCUGUUAUAAGUCUAUUUUUUUAUGCAAACAUCUGAUGCAUGCAUUGAUUUUUAUAGAUGCAGUUAGUAGAGAGGCUAGCUUCUUUCUUUCUUCAUGUCCAUUCAAAUCCUUAUUUCCUUUUCACUUGAAUUGUUUUGGGCAAAUACCUCUCGUGUUUGUUUUGGGCAAAUACCUCUUGUGGUUGUGUUUGAAAUUGUAUACCUCUUUUGAGCUACAUUGUUGAUAAGUUUUUAGCAUGACAAGUGAAAACAAAUCAAUAUGUUGAAAUGUUAACAAAAAUUCUGUGAUUUCAUCAUUAGUGUAAAUCAAUAUUUCAUCAUAAAUUUUUCUCAAAUCAAUCAUUGCUUACCUAUCAUGGUGUAAACUAAUCCAUUAAUCCAUUUUAAAAAAAGUAAAUAUUCACGAACACUAUUCAUGUUUUGAGAAUUUCAAAUGCUAAAUGUGUUGUUUAGUAAACAAAGGGUGCCCCCUUUGAUUACGUUAAAUAUUGAGAGAACUGGGUGUCCCUUAGUAUAAGUUAGUAUGUUGACAAUGUUAUUGUAUUGAGAAAUCCAAAUAAUAACAUGAAACUUAAAGAAAAAAUUUAAGGGACUAAUACCUUGGGCAUAUGUAUAAGUUGCUAGGCAUGUCAGAAUGAUGGUUAUUGAAUACAUGAUGAUCCUCUAUGUCCUGAAGGUAGCUGAAAGAUAAAAUAUGUGGUGAUCCUAUAUGUCUUGAAGGCAGCUGAAAGAUAAAAUAUGUGGUGAUCCUAUAUGUCUUGAAGGUAGCUGAAAGAUAAAAUAUGUGGUGAUCCUAUAUGUCUUGAAGGUAGCUGAAAGAUCAGGCAAGCGUAAGUUGUUAAUGAUAAACAGAACAGUCUAGAGGACAUCAUUUAACAAAAAACUCGGCAGACAUGAAGAAUCUAAGAGAAAGUAAAAGAAACGAAAUUAAAUCUACGAACAAAUUAUUCCAUGGAAAAAGUGGAACAAUAAAUGAAUUCCUAAAAUCGUAAACGUUUCCUGACAAUCAACCCUGGUUUCUCAAACGAGAAAGCUUGAAACCAAAUACCACCACAACGUCCUGGUACGCAAUGUUGAAUUAAAAUUAAACCUAACUUUAGGCGGUUUUGAACAAACCAAAUUGAAAUUUAUAUUUAGACAAUUUUAUAUGAUAAAACGUCAACAUAAAAUAUUUUGGUUAUUGACAGCACGUCAAAGAAAAAAAUUUGCAACCUGAAAUUACAUGCAGUAAACAUAACCUCUACUAUAAUAAACAAUGAAUACAUAUAUUAUAAGGUGUUAGUUAAAUUAAUUAUUAACGAUAAUAAUCAUUAAGUAAGGAUAUAAAGUCCUCAAUCCGACAUAUAUCUCUAUUCGAUUCAAAAUUUUUUGAAAUCUUGACGAUUCAAAACUGGAAAAAUUACCUUAGAAUUGUUUUCACAGAUACCAACUGCAACCUUUUGAGCUUUUGGUCCAAUAUUUCCUUGUUUUCAUCACCUGGCUCCUACUCAAAUCCGACAGAGUACAAAAUGAGCAGGAAAUGAUGAUCAAAUGAAAAAGAGGCUCGACGACGCCCUGUUGUGACGUCAAUAUGACAAUCUCUUGUAAUGUGCUUCUACUCUGGAAAUGACUAAGAGGGGAAUUUAGCUGUGGUUUAUGGGUUUAUGAAAUGAAAUUCCGUGUUUAUGACUUCUGAACCCCCCGCCCCUUUUUAUCAGAGACUUAGCAGCCUUAAUGUUAAGCAUAUUGCGUAGUUAGUAGAGAGGACCCUGGGAAAGAUUAGUUAUUAGGCUAACCAGGUUUAUCCUCUGUAAAUAAAGUUUAUCUAUCUAUCUAUCUAUCUAUUGUUUGUUUUGUAAGUCUGUUUUGUUUUAGUGAGCCAAAGUAUUGCACAGGCUGAAACAGAAAUGGCCGCACCGCAGCAAAAAAUUUUAGCGAACCAAAAUUCAAGUGGUCAUAGCAAGUUUCAUAAAAGUUAUAGGAUGACUUUUUAACUGGAAUAUGUUAGAAAAUUCAUCAAGGUUUGAUGCUCUAAAUAGUAAAUGCAAGAAUAUUCUUGUUUUUUGCCUAUUUCCAAACAAUAUCGACAUGUCGCAAGAACACAAAAAAUGAGCCACGAUGAUUGAAGUACCUGUGAAACAUUUGCAAUAAAAAGUUCAUCUUUGCACCAAUUUGUGAUAUUUUAUUACAAUGAACUUGGGGGUACCUACUCUAUGCUUGGGUGUCUAGAACUGCUCAUUAUGCUCACUUUUGUUGGAGAAUCUGCUAAAUGUUUUAGUCGGAAAUUUUUGGAGCCGCAAUGGGCCUAAUCUCAGCGGUCUCUUAGUGAUAUGUUGCAGCAAAAUUCAAUCAAUAAAAUGUGUCACAACUCGUUAAGUCCAUUAUUUCCAACCGAUUUCGAUUUUGUAAUGGGAACAAAUAAUGCUGAAAAAAUUGCAUAAAACAACAUAUCGUCCUCUCAUUAAAUGAAAAUACCAAAAUUCCCGCGAUAAACAGGUUCACUCGAAUGCCUCAAUAUCGGUAAAAGAGUGGACAUAAUAAAAUGGCUUAGAAUAUGCCACUUUCCACCAAAUACAAGGCCAUUUAUAAGCAACUUGGUACUUCAACACCUAAAUGUGAUCUUGGAAAUUUUUUUCUGAAUUUAUCAUGUCGCGAUUAACAGAAACUAUUACAAAACUUUCUGACAAACUUCUAGCAAGUCUCACAACGGUUUCAAAGCUGAUAGACUGUCCAAUAAAAAGUUAAAAAUUUUUAUGUUUUAGAAAGUAAUUUUUUGAAUUUUUAAAUUAGAAGUGUUGUCAGUGUUUUGAAGUUUAACCAAAAAGGCGCCUAAUGGCUUCACAAAAGUGGUUUGAAUUUCGAUCGCUUUGUUGUUGACAACGCGGUCGCCAUUACUGAAUUGUCAAACCUGUGCAAUACUUUUGCUCAUUAAGUGUACAAUGAUAUAGAAGAAAUCUUGACCUUGUCUGUUGUAGAGUGGCUGAUACCUUAUAGAGGGGUUCUUACAUAGUAGGACUAUAUGUCAUUACGCCUCGGUGCCUAAUUGCCACCCCUCCCCCCGCUAAUUAAUUUUUGAAAAUUUUUCCAACCACGCCGCUCUUAUUAAGAUCCCCCACCAAUUGAUUAUGACACUUUUGUGUUAAUUACUAUAGCGAAAAAAAUCAAAACUUGCAAUUUAUACCGGAAUAUAAAACGAAUGAUACAGCUGAGCCAUUCUGAGUAUUCAGUAUAUGUAAAUUCAUAAUUUUGACUCCCGGUAAUUGGAACCCCCCGCGCCGAUUUAUUCUGAACAUAAGAUCGCCCCCCCCCCGGCAAUUAGGCACCUAAAGGUAAUCAUCGUGCAAACCUCGUUUUCGUUUGUAUAUAACAUUUAGUCUUUUGUUUAGUAAUUCAGUCAGUGAUUAACCUCAACUCAAGUCGCUCGCUGAGUAAGCAUUAUCCACGCUACAACUGACGGAGGAGAGGUGGGGGGAGGGGGAAAAAUUUGCUCGAAAUUAGGCAGACCACCGAGCUGCACUAGCAUAAUUCUGUACCUGCGGUUUUUAAGAUGAAAGGGAAAUCUGUUGACUGAUUUUAACAUAAUUUCAAAUCAAAGAAAUUCCUUUCAAUGUUACGAAGCCAUAUCUACUUUCUCGAAACCGCUUGAAAUUUCUAUUGAAGGCGUGACCAACAUAAACUUUAGAGAUCAGAAUCCGCUGAAACAGUCAGAAAUUCUUUAAUCCGCAGUAGGAGAUUUAGUCGAAGAAUAGUCAUCAUAGCUGAAAGAGUCAUAAAACCUUUAAUCCGCAGUUGAAGAUAAAGUCAAGGUCGCGAAGAUGGAAGCUUUAUAAUAAGCCCCAUUUAGAAGAGCUCCAUCACUUUUUGGCGUGUAGACUGACGAUCAGUUCAGUAUUAAUUUCGAGGAAUUCGAUCAAACCACGGAGGGUUCUUCAAUAGCAAAUGUACCGCGAGCAAGAGUAUACUUUUUUCAAUUUUGGUCAUGCCAAGGUCUAGCCAAAGGUAUCAUAUUUGACAACGUUGGUCUAGGGAACGGCCUUUGAAAGAACCACAUAUUUUCCUUCUCUAUAGCUUUUAUGCCCAAAUUACUCUGCAGAAAUACCGUAAUGCCUCGAACAAGCGCCCCACUCAAAUAAGCGCCCCCCUCAAAUAAGCGCCCACCCUAGAGGUGAAAUUAUUGAAUAAGCGCCCCCUCGAAUAAGCGCCCACCCC